GCAGUCGAACGGUAGCACAGAAGAGCUUGCUCUUCGGGUGACGAGUGGCGGACGGGUGAGUAAUGUCUGGGGAUCUGCCCGAUAGAGGGGGAUAACCACUGGAAACGGUGGCUAAUACCGCAUAACGUCGCAAGACCAAAGAGGGGGACCUUCGGGCCUCUCACUAUCGGAUGAACCCAGAUGGGAUUAGCUAGUAGGUGGGGUAACGGCUCACCUAGGCGACGAUCCCUAGCUGGUCUGAGAGGAUGACCAGCCACACUGGAACUGAGACACGGUCCAGACUCCUACGGGAGGCAGCAGUGGGGAAUAUUGCACAAUGGGCGCAAGCCUGAUGCAGCCAUGCCGCGUGUAUGAAGAAGGCCUUCGGGUUGUAAAGUACUUUCAGCGGGGAGGAAGGGAGCGAGGUUAAUAACCUCGUUCAUUGACGUUACCCGCAGAAGAAGCACCGGCUAACUCCGUGCCAGCAGCCGCGGUAAUACGGAGGGUGCAAGCGUUAAUCGGAAUUACUGGGCGUAAAGCGCACGCAGGCGGUCUGCUAAGUCAGAUGUGAAAUCCCCGGGCUUAACCUGGGAACUGCAUUUGAAACUGGCAGGCUAGAGUCUUGUAGAGGGGGGUAGAAUUCCAGGUGUAGCGGUGAAAUGCGUAGAGAUCUGG
rnacentral:rRNA from 1 species